rnacentral:lncRNA from 1 species
AAAUUCGACAUAACCACAACAUAAGGACAGGUUAACAGAUUAAACACCAACUUCAAAGCUUGAAGAAAACCUCUAAACCCACAACAAACGAAAUAGCAAAAGAGUGGAAAGAAAAGAAAAUAGAAUCUCACCUUUGAAAACUAAAAUCGACCAACAGAGCGAUACAAUUCAGCAAUUGACACCAUAGUAAGACAGAACAAAAGAUCAUAAAAACGAAAAGCAAAAAGAAAAGAGGGAAGGACGAUAGUAAAGAAAAAAAAGUUCAAGAGAAAACAUAAGAGAAAAAAUUUAGGAAAAAUAUCUAACUCAUUAAAAGUAAAAACUAAGUGCAAAAAUAUUC